GGUCAAGUUAUUAAGGGUGCAGGGCGGAUGCCUUGGCACUAGGAGCCGAUGAAGGACGUGAUAAGCUGCGAUAAGCUUCGGGGAGUUGCACGUAAACUUUGAUCCGAAGAUUUCCGAAUGAGGAAACUCACUUAGAGUAAUGUCUAAGUAUCAUUAAGUGAAUACAUAGCUUAAUGAGGGGAACUCAGGGAACUGAAACAUCUAAGUACCUGAAGGAAGAGAAAGAAAUUCGAUUCCGUAAGUAGCGGCGAGCGAACGCGGAUUAGCCCAAACCAAUAAAGUUUUCUUUAUUGGGGUUGCGGACAUAUCAUAACGAAGAGGUAUCGUAAUUGAAGAGGUUUGGAAAGACCCACCACAGAAGGUAAUAGUCCUGUAUGUUAAACGAGAAGACUUUAGAUAUGAUCCAGAGUACCACGGGACACGUGAAACCCUGUGGGAAGCAGGAGGGACCACCCUCCAAGGCUAAAUACUACCUAGUGACCGAUAGCGUAUAGUACCGUGAGGGAAAGGUGAAAAGAACCCCGGGAGGGGAGUGAAAUAGAACCUGAAACCCUGCACUUACAAGCUGUGGAAGCACAUUUCUUGUGUGACCGCGUACUUUUUGUAGAACGGGCCAACGAGUUACGUUAAGUAGCAAGGUUAAGCACUUAAGGUGUGGAGCCGUAGCGAAAGCGAGUUUUAACUGAGCGUUCAGUUACUUGACGUAGACCCGAAACCGGGCGACCUACCCAUGAGCAGGAUGAAGCGAAAGUAAAAUUUCGUGGAGGUCCGAACCCACGAGCGUUGAAAAGCUCGGGGAUGACUUGUGGGUAGCGGUGAAAUUCCAAUCGAGCCCGGAGAUAGCUGGUUCUCCCCGAAAUAGCUUUAGGGCUAGCCUCAAGGUGAGAGAUACGGAGGUAGAGCACUGAAUGUCCUAGGGGGUAUUGCACCUACCGAAGACUAUCAAACUCCGAAUGCCGUCAUCUUAUACUUGGGAGUCAGACUGUGGGUGAUAAGAUUCAUAGUCGAAAGGGCAACAGCCCAGAUCGUCAGCUAAGGUCCCUAAAUGUAAGUUAAGUGGUAAAGGAUGUGGGAUUGCACAGACAACCAGGAUGUUGGCUUAGAAGCAGCCACUCAUUCAAAGAGUGCGUAAUAGCUCACUGGUCGAGUGAUCCUGCGCCGAAGAUUUCCGGGGCUAAAACUUACUACCGAAGCUACGGCAUCAGUAAUGAUGGGUAGGGGAGCUUCCCAUACGGGUUGAAGCAUGACCGUAAGGACAUGUGGACAGUAUGGGAGUGAGAAUGUUGGCAUGAGUAGCGAGAUGUGGGUGAGAAUCCCACAGGCCGUAAACCCAAGGUUUCCAGGGGAAGGUUCGUCCGCCCUGGGUUAGUCGGGACCUAAGCUGAGGCCGAAAGGCGUAGGUGAUGGACAACAGGUUGAUAUUCCUGUACUACCGAUAACCGUUUGAGAGAAGGGAUGACACAGUAGGAUAAGCUAAGCACACUGUUGGUUAUGUGUGCCCAAGCAUUGAGGCAGUCAAAGUAGGCAAAUCCGCUUUGAUAAUGCUGGGAUGUGAUGGGGAGCGAAAUUUAGUAGCGAAGUAGCUGAUUUCACACUGUCAAGAAAAGUCUCUAUCGAGGUUAAAGGUACCCGUACCGCAAACCGACACAGGUGGGUGAGGAGAGUAUCCUAAGGCCAGCGAGAGAACUGUUGUUAAGGAACUCGGCAAAAUGACCCCGUAACUUAGGGAUAAGGGGUGCCACCAUCAGGUGGCCGCAGAGAAUAGGCCCAAGCGACUGUUUACCAAAAACAUAGGUUUCUGCUAAGUCGCAAGACGAUGUAUAGGAGCUGACGCCUGCCCGGUGCUGGAAGGUUAAGGGGAUCUGUUAGAGCAAUCGAAGCAGUGAACUUAAGCCCCAGUAAACGGCGGCCGUAACUAUAACGGUCCUAAGGUAGCGAAAUUCCUUGUCGGGUAAGUUCCGACCCGCACGAAAGGCGUAACGAUUUGGGCACUGUCUCAACAACAGACUCGGUGAAAUUGUAAUUCCGGUGAAGAUGCCGGAUACCUGCGACAGGACGGAAAGACCCCAUGGAGCUUUACUGUAGCUUGACAUUGGGUCUUGGUACUACAUGUACAGGAUAGGUGGGAGGCUUUGAAACCAGGACGCCAGUUUUGGCGGAGCCAUCCUUGGGAUACCACCCUUGUAGUACUGGGACUCUAACCAUAGGCCAUGAAUCUGGUCUUGGGACACUGUCAGGUGGGCAGUUUGACUGGGGCGGUCGCCUCCCAAAAGGUAACGGAGGCGCUCAAAGGUUCUCUCAGUACGGUCGGAAAUCGUACGUAGAGUGUAAAGGCAAAAGAGAGCUUGAUUGCAAGACAUACAGGUCGAGCAAGGAUGAAAAUCGGACUUAGUGAUCCGGUGGUUCUGCGUGGAAGGGCCAUCGCUCAACGGAUAAAAGCUACCCUGGGGAUAACAGGCUUAUCUCCCCCAAGAGUCCACAUCGACGGGGAGGUUUGGCACCUCGAUGUCGGCUCAUCACAUCCUGGGGCUGUAGUAGGUCCCAAGGGUUGGGCUGUUCGCCCAUUAAAGUGGUACGCGAGCUGGGUUCAGAACGUCGUGAGACAGUUCGGUCCCUAUCCGUCGCAGGCGUAGGAAAUUUGAGAAGACCUGUCCUUAGUACGAGAGGACCGGGAUGGACGUACCUCUGGUGUACCAGUUGUCCUGCCAAGGGCAUGGCUGGGUAGCUAUGUACGGAAUGGAUAAGCGCUGAAAGCAUCUAAGCGCGAAGCCAACUUCAAGAUAAGAUUUCCCACCGCAAGGGUAAGACCCCAGAAAGACUAUCUGGUUGAUAGGUCGAAGGUGUAAGUGCAGCAAUGUAUUUAGCUUAUCGA
rnacentral:rRNA from 1 species